GGGAAAUUCGCCAUCCCUCUAAUUGGCUUUGUGGCGCUCUUCUGGGCCUGCUCCAACAGGUCAAUGUCCUUCCUGUGCUGAGGACCCCAGAGGUGGACACAGCUCUCCAGCUGGCUUGUCAUGAAAGUGAAGUAGAGGGGCAGAAUGCCUUCCCUCACUCACGCUGUGAGCCAUGCUUCUUUUUGUGCAGUCCAGGACAUAUUUGGCUCUCUGGGCAGUGUGAGCACACACUGCCAGCUCAUGGCCAGCCUCUCAUCCACCAGCACCUUCAAGACCUUCUUGGAAGGACUGCUCUUCAUCCAUUCAACCCCUAAGACUGUGCUGAUACUGAGGAUUGCCCCUUGCUCUUGGCUUUGUUGAAUUUCAUGUGGUUACCUUGGACUCCCCUACCAAGUUUGUCAAGUUUGUCAAGGUACCCCUUCAUUUUUCCCCAGUCCCCGUCUUGGAGUCCAUCCGUUGGAGAGGUAUGAAAAGAAACUGUCAUAAAAGACUGAGACAAAACCACUGCUGAGCAUCUCAGCCUUCUCCUCAUUUGUUACCAAUCUGCCAGCAUUGCUCAUCAGAGAGGUGCUGCUUUCUUUAACCUUUAUUUUCUGGCUGACAUACCUAUAGCAGCACUUCUUGUUAUUCAUUGCAUCCCUUGCUAAUUUCAGCUCCAACUCCACCUUGGCUCUGCCUUUUAUGAGCUAGAAUAUAGCCAUUUCUGUGUUUCCUAAACUAUUCUUUUGGCUAGAUAACUUUACUUCUAUCUAUGAAAAAUCAUGCCUCAUAUUCAAGAAAAUGAACAUGAAUAUCUUUCAUUGAACAGCCUCUAGAUCCAAGUAAAAGAGAUGUACAGAAAAACCUUAUUGAUAAUCAUUAAUAAUGAUCUGCAAAACAAAUAAAAGCCAAUGCAUCACGUUCUUUAAUGGCCCUAUCCAAAUUCUGGAAAUAUUUUUCUUUUAACACAACAGUUAUCUUCUGUCAAAAUUACCUUUCUCUCUAGGCUUCCCUGCUGCCAAGUCACUUAAGUCCCCUGAGUAUUACGUAAGCAGAAAAUGGUAAUGAAUAGGACUUCAUUUCUACAUAUCUAUGAAGACAUCAAUAGUGAAUGACUAAAUGAUAUUUGGGUAUUCUAAUUAUGUAGGUUCAAGGAAUGCUUAGAUUUAACACACUCCUAUUAAAAAAAGGUGAGUUUAGGUGCUUUUUCCCACUAUAUGUCUUGUGUCUUGGGGAUCCUGUGCCUAUGAGUCAAGUCUCAUUAUAAUUUUUAAUAAACUAAAUAAUUAUAAAGACACCUACAACAUCAGUUUGAGUUAUACAUCUUACAGGACCUAAAUUAAAGUUUUAUCUUAGUGCUGGUGUACAAGCAGCCUCCAGGACUUUUCUACACUUGAAAACACUCUUACACAAGUCAUUUACACCUUUCUGAUGGACCUGUAAAGAGCAGCUGUCAAGGAGGCUGCUCAGGCACAAAACAACACUAAUUCAUGUUCUGCACUCCAGAACUGGCUGCGAAGGAAGCCGAAACAGGUGAGGAAUGAGAAGUUUCUGAAAACAUUUCAGAGACGCACUGAAAGACUGUUCUGCAGUAUGUUUGUUAUGCUUCUAAAUUUCCAGGAAAAACAUAAAUGAGCUCUAGCAAUGUUACAUUUGUACCUAUUGCAGACAGAGGAUAAAUAAAGAUUCUCCAAUAUUUUUGGCAGACAAAGUAAAUGGCUGUGAACCCACAAGGAGAGGGAGAAAAAUCCAGUAUGAUAAUAAAGCUCUCAAGUGUGACCUUAUAAUGCAGGGGGACAAAUGAGGAAUUUCCUUUUUUGCCUCAAUUUUCAAACAGGUGAAGUUCAGAUUUUUUUUUUUUCUUUAGUUGUCUAACUCUCACUCGGGUCUACAAAGAAAUCAAAGAAAUAAAUAAUAUGCCUGUUAAGCGUCACCAAAAAAAAAAAAAAAAAAAAAAA
rnacentral:lncRNA from 1 species